CCUACGGGAGGCAGCAGUGAGGAAUAUUGGUCAAUGGGAGAGAUCCUGAACCAGCCAAGCCGCGUGAGGGAAGACGGCCCUAUGGGUUGUAAACCUCUUUUGUCGGAGAACAAAACCCGGGACGUGUCCCGGACUGCGUGUAUCCGAAGAAAAAGCAUCGGCUAACUCCGUGCCAUCAGCCGCGGUAAUACGGAGGAUGCGAGCGUUAUCCGGAUUUAUUGGGUUUAAAGGGUGCGUAGGCGGGCCGUUAAGUCAGCGGUAAAAUGGCGGGGCUCAACCCCGUCGAGCCGUUGAAACUGGCAGACUUGAGUUGGCGAGAAGUACGCGGAAUGCGCGGUGUAGCGGUGAAAUGCAUAGAUAUCGCGCAGAACUCCGAUUGCGAAGGCAGCGUACCGGCGCCAGACUGACGCUGAGGCACGAAAGCGUGGGGAUCGAACAGGAUUAGAUACCCCGGUAGUC
rnacentral:rRNA from 1 species